UCCAGAAAAUCAGCCUUUUAGGACUUAGUCAAAUUUCAGCAUUUUUCAGCUUUUGGUCCGUUUUUGCUCGUCAGGCCUCCGAUUCAUUUCAAAUCGCACUGAGACUUUCAAAACAUGUUUUCGAGCGUAUUUAUAUUAUCUUUUCAUCCACGCUAACGCCGGAUUUAGUUCACAGUCCAACAUAACCUUUCGGGUUCCGUUUUCGCGCCCGACGCGCACCGAAAACGUCCGAAUGCUCCCGAACUUCAUCGGAACCAUCCUAAUAGCUUCUCUAACUUAGUAUACCCAGUAACUUCAUAAUUUUAGAAGUUCGGUAUGCUACAAGUUAUCUGUCUCUAUCAGUCGUAUAUACCACUGUAACUUUCUAAAAAAAUGACUCAUUCUACAUACAAUGUCACGUAUUGUUCAACUCAUCCACAAACAAAGAAUUAAAAC
rnacentral:lncRNA from 1 species